AUAGACGAACGGCGCGUCUUUAAACCAUGCGUCGGGAGCGCGGCGGGUUCAGGAUGAACGGCAAUGCUGCUCAUUAGCGAGAAGGCUUUUUUGCU
rnacentral:misc_RNA from 1 species